ensembl:lncRNA
GUGUGAUUUCAGUAUGACAUUGUAUUAUGAUUAUUACAUUUAGCUGAUAUUUUUUUUUUUUUUGCCCGAAGCAACUUACAGUGUUAAUAUACCUACAAUUACUUAUCCAUUUGUACAGCUGGGUAACAGUCAGUAGGAUAAAUACCUUGCUCAAGGGUACUACAGCCAGAGCUGGGGAUCAAACCUGCAAUCUUUGCAUCUGAAGGCAGCAGUUCUAACUACUAUGCUACCACCUGUUGUUAUUGUUGCACUGCUCUGCAAAGGGCAGUGAUGGUGACUUGUAAAUGUUCCCUUUUUUCUCCACCUGGGUGCAGCUGGCGGCAGAGCUUGGAGAUGCUGUGAAGAAGAGGUAAGAAGAGGUAAGAAGAGGUAAAUGGUACUCCUUGACCAGCUGGACCCUGACUUGAAUAAGCAGUUAGUGCUCACCACCGUGAGUGAUUGUGACAAUAGGUGGUUUUCGCUUUCAUGUCCUCUGUGAUUUCAUUGAACUUUUACCUGGAACAGACCAUAUUUAGAAAUGAGUUUCUCUGAAGGAAUGAUGUGUUCAAAUUAAUGCUUUUACUGCAUAACCAAAUAAAUUUCUCUUAAUUUUUUCAGAUUAGUUUCCUGCACGCCCUCGGCAUUUUCACCAUUGGUGCUUCUUGCCUAGGAAUUUGCGGAGCAUAUACGGAGGGCAAAUUCCAUCUGUUUGUGCUACUGAAGGAAGUUUCACAAGAUGUUCAGCACCUUGCGGAACUGCUGCAGGCUGAGCAUCGACCCUCACAACGUCCUCAUCGACCAUGGCCUUGGAUUGUCCCCAUGUACAACAACGUCUGCACCUCGGAUUCACCGCGGUUGUCCCAGACUACGAGUACUUUCUUGUCCCAAGAACCUUAGCAACAAACGAUUCCACAAUUGGGUAGACACCCGGGUCCUCGGGCUGCUCCGACUGACAAUGUUGAAUAAGUGCGACUUUGGUCUUGAGGGAGAUGCUAAAAUGGCACCUUAAAGUUCAUGUGUUCCAUACAGCAUUAUGAACGGGGGAACAAUCCUCUACGGUCUGAAAUAGCUGCUCCCUUCUGUGCAUGCCAUACCAUGCAACAAGCCAAAGAGUGUUCUCUGAGCUUAGAAGGCACGAUGUUGAGCAAGUGAUAACAGCUCUACUCUGAUAAUUCAGUUAAAUGUGAAGUAAGAUGUCAUAUUGUUUUCUAUGAGUUUUCACAAGAGGAAGUAAUACAGUCUUGUUUUCUGCUGUUUGAGAAAUGGAUACAGUUAUGACUCAAUAUGUUUCUGGGAAUUGCAUUUGGAUUUACUGCCAUGGUGCUAUGUAUUGGAAGGUUUUUUUUAAUCCUUUUUUUCACCAGUUUGUCAGAGUGCCGGAACUAAGACUGAAAACUAAUGUAAAAGUUUUCCCAGCAGAAACAAGAAUUUGUUUAGGCAAGGUUUAGUGUAUUAAGACAUAUCUUGAAAUGCAUGACCAGAACUGACCGAUGUGAUCCAGCAUUCAGUGACAUCAUCCAAAAAUUGCAGGAAAGAUAGCGUGCAACUGUGAGCAACAGAUAGGCUCUAAGUGGAGCUACGUUGCAAGAGAAGAGAAGAUACAAUGAAGAGAGGGGAAUAAAAAUAAAGUCUUUCACA